rnacentral:rRNA from 1 species
UACGGAAGGGGCUAGCGGUGUUCGGAAUUACUGGGCGUAAAGAGCGCGUAGGCGGCUGAACAAGUUUGGGGUGAAAGCCCAGAGCUCAACUGCGGAACUGCCGUAAAUACUGGUAGUCUUGAGUCCGGAAGAGGAGCGUGGAAUUCCCAGUGUAGAGGUGAAAUUCGUAGAUAUUGGGAGGAACACCGGUGGCGAAGGCGGCUCCCUGGUCCGGUACUGACGCUGAGGAGCGAAAGCUAGGGGAGCAAACGGG